rnacentral:lncRNA from 1 species
UCAUAUGUGGAUUGAAAGCUUUGAUAUUUUGAAGUUAGGUGUUACAUUUGGUGUCACACCAUGAAUGUGCAUUUUCAUGAUUUUCAAUAGCAUGCUUCCUUACAUCCAAAUGACCCCAAAUUUUGCAUGAUCCCUCCCUUACAUGUCUAGUUCAUGUGUGAAUUUUCUUGGAAUUAAUUGUGCUGUUUUCCAUUUAUUUGAGAUUUUU